rnacentral:rRNA from 1 species
GAUGAACGCUGGCGGCGUGCCUAAUACAUGCAAGUCGAGCGAAUGGAUUAAGAGCUUGCUCUUAUGAAGUCAGCGGCGGACGGGUGAGUAACACGUGGGUAACCUGCCCAUAAGACUGGGAUAACUCCGGGAAACCGGGGCUAAUACCGGAUAACAUUUUGAACCGCAUGGUUCGAAAUUGAAAGGCGGCUUCGGCUGUCACUUAUGGAAGGACCCGCGUCGCAUUUGCUAGUUGGUGAGGUAACGGCUCAACAAGGCAACGAUGCGUAGCCGACCUGAGAGGGUGAUCGGCCACACUGGGACUGAGACACGGCCCAGACUCCUACGGGAGGCAGCAGUAGGGAAUCUUCCGCAAUGGACGAAAGUCUGACGGAGCAACGCCGCGUGAGUGAUGAAGGCUUUCGGGUCGUAAAACUCUGUUGUUAGGGAAGAACAAGUGCUAGUUGAAUAAGCUGGCACCUUGACGGUACCUAACCAGAAAGCCACGGCUAACUACGUGCCAGCCGCCGCGGUAA